CAGUGUCGCUGUGCGGACUGCGUGAAUGCAUGGCCAGAGAGACAGAAACGUAUUUUGGUGAACCAGCAGGAUCCAAGCAGUGGUCCAUCCAGAAGAGAUGAACCCCCAUCAGCAUCACUGACAGAAGGGAAUCUUGGACCAGUGACAGGAUGAAGUAGGGAGUGAGCAAGAACAGAACAAUAUGGGAUGCUUCUCUGCUAAUACCCAGCUACUACCAUCUGCUGGCAAGAAGUCAGCAUGACAUGUUCAGUCACGGACCCUAUGAUAACAUUGGAGUGGUGCCAUCAGCUUGACUUUCUAUCUUAUAAUUACAGUCAUUCAUACAUUAAAAAUUGAC